rnacentral:misc_RNA from 1 species
GUUGUAUGUGUCAAAAAACUUUUGAAGGUUUAUUUAGAUGAGGCGUAGAGCUUUUGGCAGGAAAAGAGAAACUCAGAAAGUAAUGUACUGUGUGGUUUUUGCUUUAAUUUGAAGGCUUUGAGGAAUGUUCACAUACUAAAGAAUCAGAGUUUUUCUUUGCAAUUGUUGUGGGAAAAUAGUGUUUCUGGUUGCUUUAUGGAUUUAUGCUUCAGGAAGUAUUACAGAAGUGUCUUUAGGUAAUAUUUAAUGCAUUUGGAGGGCAUUGGUUUCUUUAGUUUAGUUUUUCUGGCGUAGUUUUCUGGUUUCGUU